UACGUAGGGUGCAAGCGUUGUCCGGAAUUAUUGGGCGUAAAGAGCUCGUAGGCGGUUUGUCGCGUCGAAUGUGAAAACCCGGGGCUCAACCCCGGGCCUGCAUUCGAUACGGGCAGACUAGAGUUCGGUAGGGGAGACUGGAAUUCCUGGUGUAGCGGUGAAAUGCGCAGAUAUCAGGAGGAACACCGGUGGCGAAGGCGGGUCUCUGGGCCGAAACUGACGCUGAGGAGCGAAAGCGUGGGGAGCGAACAGG
rnacentral:rRNA from 1 species